rnacentral:rRNA from 1 species
AUGAACGCUGGCGGCGUGCCUAACACAUGCAAGUCGAGCGAAGCACUUUACUUCGAUUCUUCGGAUGAAGAGUUUUGUGACUGAGCGGCGGACGGGUGAGUAACGCGUGGGUAAACCCUGCCUCACACAGGGGGAUAACAGUUAGAAAUGACUGCUAAUACCGCAUAAGACCACAGCACCGCAUGGUGCAGGGGUAAAAACUCCGGUGGUAUGAGAUGGACCCGCGUCUGAUUAGCUAGUUGGUAAGGUAACGGCUUACCAAGGCGACGAUCAGUAGCCGACCUGAGAGGGUGACCGGCCACAUUGGGACUGAGACACGGCCCAAACUCCUACGGGAGGCAGCAGUGGGGAAUAUUGCACAAUGGGGGAAACCCUGAUGCAGCGACGCCGCGUGAGCGAAGAAGUAUUUCGGUAUGUAAAGCUCUAUCAGCAGGGAAGAAAAUGACGGUACCUGACUAAGAAGCUCCGGCUAAAUACGUGCC